rnacentral:rRNA from 1 species
AGGGAAUCUUCCACAAUGGGCGAAAGCCUGAUGGAGCAACGCCGCGUGAGCGAAGAAGGUCUUCGGAUCGUAAAGCUCUGUUGUAAGGGAAGAACAAGCGCAGCAGUAACUGGCUGCGCCCUGACGGUACCUUACUAGAAAGCCACGGCUAACUACGUGCCAGCAGCCGCGGUAAUACGUAGGUGGCAAGCGUUGUCCGGAAUUAUUGGGCGUAAAGCGCGCGCAGGCGGUUUCUUAAGUCUGAUGUGAAAGCCCCCGGCUCAACCGGGGAGGGUCAUUGGAAACUGGGAGACUUGAGUGCAGGAGAGGGAAGUGGAAUUCCAUGUGUAGCGGUGAAAUGCGUAGAGAUAUGGAGGAACACCAGUGGCGAAGGCGGCUUCCUGGCCUGUAACUGACGCUGAGGCGCGAAAGCGUGGGGAGCAAAC